rnacentral:tRNA from 1 species
AAAAGUAUUACCUUGAUAGGGUAAAUUAUGUAAUAUAAUUUACAUUCAUUA